CUGCGAGUUCGCGGGAGAGUAAGUUAUUGCCAGGGUUUUUAUUUUAUACUUUAAACAUUGAUUUUAUUUUUUAUGUUUUUAGAUGUUCAUGUUUUUGAAUGUUUUAUUUAAAUAAUAUAAAAAAUAAAAUAUAUAUUGACAUGGAUUAAACAAAGAUAUAUAUUAUUCUAUGUUGCAUAAGCAAAUUGGCAAAAUAGAGAUGGAAGAUAAAAAUAUGGUC
rnacentral:misc_RNA from 1 species